UAAGCAAUUGGAAAAGUUGAAAGACUUUUAUUUCUGGAAAAAUGUUUAUAGAGAAAUUCAUCCAACCCAAUAUGGUCGUAGAAAAAGUUAGGUAGAUUCACCUAGUGUUAUAGUUAGGGAUGGUAGAAAGGGCUCGACGGAUUAGCCUCUCAAUUUGGUAAAAUAAUGGCGGGUUGGAUGACAAAAUAAAUAAAACAGCAGUCCAACCUCAUAGCUUGACAGUGGACCUGUUAGGAUAAAAUUAAAUAUCAAGGUUUAUUUGCAAUUACGUUUAAGUUCCUGGCUUUUGUUUUUAGUUUUUUUUUUGUAUAAUAUACUCGGUCAGUAUUAUUCGGUUAGUGUUGGUCAGUAUUAUUCGGUUAGUGUUGGUCAAUAUUAUUCAGAGAAGAGAGGUCUCUUCUCUGAGCAAGAAUCCCAGGUGUGCAUUCCCUACACACGCGCAUGCCGCUGCUCCCGUCCGACCAGUCACGGUGCCACCGCCUCCUACCCACCUUGACUUCGCCGGCGACACCACUCCGCCGGAUCCGCCGGCGGCCACGGCGUCACCGCCCUCUCCCUCUCCUCGCUUCUAAAACGCCAACCCAGGGAAGGGUUUGCCUCCGUCGCAUAUGCACCACUACUUCUUCGAACCAGCCACCGCGCCACCACCUUCUACUAGUCUCGGCGUCGCUAGCGACACCACACUCCACCGGAGCUACCGCCGGUCGCGGCGUCCCCGCCCUCUCUUUCUCUUGUGAACGACAAAAACACAAUCCCUGGGAUGAGUUCUUCCUGAUCCCACCGAGACCAGCCGCUGCCGGUGCACUGACGCCUCCUUCUCCCAACCGACCGCCGUCUACAGCUCCUUUUGUGCUAGGGUUGAUUGAUUAAACCAAACAACAUAGUGAACAUGGCCAUAGGGGUUUUCACGGUGUAAGUCAAGGUUGAUGAUGAUCAAGGGGGUUGUGUGCGGAUAUCAGUUUGCAGGUUUGGGUUCUGCAAAGAGAGCACUGGUCUCUCAUUGUUGAAGGUCGUGAGGCGUGUUUGGGUUGUUGGGAAUGGAUGAAGGAGGGUACAGAAGCAAGCCAGAAGUAACAGAAAUAUGUAUCCCUCUAUAAUUACAUAUUUAGUCCAGAUAUGAGCAAGCAAACCAUGCCAAGCCUUAUCAAAUCAAAUGGAAGCAGAUAUCAACCCAAUCCCAAUACAAGCAGACAACAACCAUCAAUAUCCCAAACAUUCAUAGCAUAUGAGCAAUUUAAGAGUGAAGACUUACCUUUCGCGUUCUAGCUUUUACUUGCUUCGUAAGUGCCUGCGAACGACAAUGAAGAUGCUAACGAGAGUGGAUAGUGAGGGUCCUGUUGUGUGAAUGGAAGAUGGGAAAUCAUGGGUCCUCUGGUUUUGAGUGUGUUGAAGAAGAUGGAAGGGUAAAUCAAAGAUGAACUAAUGAUGAGGAGAGCCUUUUUCUGUGCGAGUGAGAACAGUGAGAACAGGAUGUUGUGAGAAUCCAAAGGUAUCAGUUUUCUUUUUUUUUUUUGUGAAAAUGUUUUUGGGAUUCUAUUGUGCGUGGUGAAGAAUUGAAUUCUCAGAGUCGUGUGAGUGAAUGAUAAUGGUGUUGGAAGUGAGGGGAGUCCAGAGUUUGGAGUUCGGCUAUGGUAUAAUGACGUGAGACCGAUAGGUGGAAGUCAAAAGAUGAAUUGUGAUCCUCCGAUCCAAAAUGGCUCUCUCCCUUAGCCAUGUUCACGGGGCAGAUGAAACCAAAGUCAAAAGCUUGGCCUGUUCAAUGAUUGCUUCCUGCAACAGCCCUUCCUCUGCUGUGUCUCCUCUUAAGAUUUGUGGACAAGUUCGGCUUUGAAAAGAUAGCAAAAGCUACGUCAGGAGAAACGUGUGUGAUAUCCUGGAGAAGACAUACAAAGGGAUGACCAUGAUAAGCAAGUACGACUUCAAAUUCUUAUAGGUGAGUUUGAAAACUUUGAAGAUGAAAGAGAGAAAACGAGUAGCCGAAUACAUAAUUCGGGUGAAGACCGUGGCAAAUCAACUCGACAGAAAUGGAGAGUACCGCCUGUCAGCUGAGUUAUGGAGAAGAUCAGGUCGUUGACAAACAACUUUGAGAACAUAAUUUACACCAUUAAUUAAUCCAAGGAUUUGUAAUUGCUCUUAGUUAAAGAGCUUGUCGGGUCAAACACUUCAAGCAAAGCAUGACCUGAGGAAGAUGCUCGAAACACUAAGUUCGUGACCCUGGAGAGUCAAGGAAGGUAGGUCGUGACAAAGAUUACAAUGAAGACGACAAAUAAUAAAUCGGCAAAGUCAUCUGUGACAAAGGACAAGGUAUGGUUACUGAGACGCUGCACAGCCAUGUAGCCCCAAGUACCUAAAAGUGAAAGUAAUAUCUUAGUUUAACUGACAAAUUAAUUGGGUAGAAAUGACUAAGCUCGUAAAAUAAAACAUUACCCAUAUGAAUAUCAUUAUCUACUUUAAUUGGGUUUGGCUUUGACAUAAAACGUGCUCCCUGUACGCUAAGGUCAAAAUCUUGAGUCUUGGCUGCAUAUUGUCAUCCAAAACAAUGUUAGUGUUCAGAUCUAUGACAUUUGGAGCAGUGAGUGUGACCAUAGGCUCACAAUUUGAAGAAGAAUUGCGCACAGUAAAUUUCCAAAAGAUAAUGGAAUAGUAAUGCAAAACUGAUCAUAUUUUCAAACGACUAUACAAAUUGAUAUCGCACUCGAAAGACUAAGGUCUAUGUUUGCAAUGUCCAUGCUUGUGAAUGUAGUGAGCAUAUUAAACUUCCAUGGCUUGUGGCCUACUUGUAUUUUGAACCCUUCGUACUCUUAAGGUUGAAGAACUUUUCUGGAAUGAAGUAAAACAUUUCUGCU